UACGUAGGGGGCAAGCGUUAUCCGGAUUUACUGGGUGUAAAGGGAGCGUAGACGGCUGUGCAAGCCAGAUGUGAAAGCCCGGGGCUCAACCCCGGGACUGCAUUUGGAACUGUGUAGCUGGAGUGUCGGAGAGGCAGGCGGAAUUCCUAGGGUAGCGGUGAAAUGCGUAGAUAUUAGGAGGAACACCAGUGGCGAAGGCGGCCUGCUGGACGAUGACUGACGUUGAGGCUCGAAAGCGUGGGGAGCAAACAGG
rnacentral:rRNA from 1 species